GAUUAACGCUGGCGGCGUGCAUAACACAUGCAAGUCGAACGAUGAAACUUUACUGACUUCUUCGGAAUGAUUUAAAGCGGAUUAGUGGCGAACGGGUGAGUAACGCGUGAGUAACCUGCCUUACACAAGGGGAUAGCCUCUGGAAACGGAGAAUAAUACCCUAUGAAACCAGACAAUCGCAUGAUAAUCUGGUCAAAAUGUUUAGUGGUGUAAGAUGGACUUGCGUCUGAUUAGCUAGUUGGUGAGAUAAAAGCUCACCAAGGCAACGAUCAGUAGCCGGCUUGAGAGAGUGUACGGCCACAUUGGGACUGAGACACGGCCCAGACUCCUACGGGAGGCAGCAGUGGGGAAUUUUGCACAAUGGGGGAAACCCUGAUGCAGCGACGCCGCGGGAUUGAGAAGGCCUUCGGGUUGUAAAAAUCUUUUGUAUAGGGAGAAAAUGACAGUACUAUACGAAUAAGGUCCGGCUAAUUACGUG
rnacentral:rRNA from 1 species